GACGAACGCUGGCGGCGUGCCUAAUGCAUGCAAGUCGCACGGGGUCUUCGGACCCAGUGGCGCACGGCUGAGGAGCACGUGGCUGACCUACCCCGGCGUGGGGGAUAACGGGCCGAAAGGCUCGCUAAUCCCGCAUACGAUCACCCUCACGGGUGAGGAAAGCUUCGGCGCGCUGGGCGGGGGCCGCGUCCCAUUAGGUUGUUGGUGUGGUAACGGCGCACCAAGCCGAUGAUGGGUUCCGGGUCUGAGAGGACGACCCGGCAGACUGGGACUGAGACACGGCCCAGACUCCUACGGGGGGCAGCAGCAAGGAAUUUUCGGCAAUGGGCGCAAGCCUGACCGAGCAACGCCGCGUGGAGGAUGACGGCUUUCGGGUUGUAAACUCCUUUUGGGUGGGACGAUAAUGACGGUACCACCCGAAUCAGACCCGGCUAACUACAUGCCAGCAGCCGCCGUAA
rnacentral:rRNA from 1 species